UAUCUUCACCUCUACUUAUCUGAGUGCAGAGAGGAGGACAGAGAACAGUGGACACACAGUUUAACAUGAUGGACUAUAGGACAGGACUGCUGCUUUUAACUCUCUGCUGGGCAGGUGUUGAUGGUCAGACUCUGACAGAAUCUGAACCAGCGAUUAAAAGACCUGGAGAAUCUCACAGAUUGACCUGUACAACAUCUGGAUUCACACUCAGCAGCUACGCUAUGAGCUGGGUCAGACAGGCUCCUGGAAAAGGACUGGAGUGGAUCGCUUAUAUAGGCACAUCUAGUUCUCCUAUCAUUUACUCCCAGUCAGUCCAGGGGAGAUUCACCAUCUCCAGAGAUGACUCCAGCAGUAAACUCUAUCUGCAGAUGAACAGUCUGAAGACCGAGGACACAGCAGUGUAUUACUGUGCCAGAAGAGACACAGUGAGAGACGAUAAUAGGAGAGUCAUACAAAAACUACUUCCUCUAUUUACAAUCACAAUGGGAACAUUCAGUUGA